rnacentral:rRNA from 1 species
UACGGAGGGGACUAGCGUUGUUCGGAUUUACUGGGCGUAAAGCGCACGUAGGCGGAUCGUUAAGUCAGGGGUGAAAUCCUGGGGCUCAACCCCAGAACUGCCUUUGAUACUGGCGAUCUCGAGUCCGGAAGAGGUGAGUGGAACUCCUAGUGUAGAGGUGGAAUUCGUAGAUAUUAGGAAGAACACCAGUGGCGAAGGCGGCUCACUGGUCCGGUACUGACGCUGAGGUGCGAAAGCGUGGGGAGCAAACAGG